rnacentral:tRNA from 1 species
GUAGGUAUAGCUCAGUGGUAGGGUGUGUGCUUAGCAUGCACAAAGUCCAGAGUGCAAUCCCCAGUCCCUCCG